CUUCGUGUUCUUGUGCGAAAGUUUGGUAAUAUGAAAAAGAAACACGAGAAUUGUGUUGCAGAGAUUUCGGAAUUGCAAAAAAAAAUUGUCUGAAAAUGAAAAGAAUUAUGUCGGAGAGAUUAAUGAAUUAAAGAAGAAGUUGUCUGAAUACGAGAAGAAAAUGGCUGAGUGGAUGACUAGUCUGGAUGAUGAGCGGAACAAACUGAAGAAAUCUUUGAAAGAAUCAAGUUUGGAGAAUAGGCAAUUGUUAGAAAGAGGAAAAGAGUUGAUGAAGGAAAAUUAUCAGAGUAUAACAAGAUUGCGGAUCAAAGAAGAGGAUCACAAGGUUACUGUUGGGAUGCUGAAAGCUGAAAUUGAAGAAUUAAAGGUUGAAAAUUCAGAGCAGUACAAAGCUGGCUUCGAUAAGGCGGUAAGCCAAUUGGUAUUUUUUGCAGAAGGACUUAAACCUUGACGAUGACGAAUGAUCUAAAACUAGUUGUGGUAAAGAAGUUUUAUAAGGAAAGCACGCCUCGCAUUAUGAGGUGAGGAUAGGGGAUAAUCCGGGCUGUCCCUGCGGUGGUACACAUGUUUUAGAUAUUUCAGACAUCACAAAAAUUAAGGUUUCUCAAAUUCUGUCGAAGAAGUGAAUGACAAAAGUAUUUUACAUUGUUGAAACUUAGUUAAAUGGACGAGUCUGCUGUCAAGUAACUGUUGUUUCAGAUCCAUGGCAGUGACUACUCUUGGAUAAGCUAAAUUUGAAUCAUAUUAGUCACUUAUGAACAGUAGCUUCUAUAUCUAGUCAUACUCAAGCUUUGUAAGGUUUGAUGAGUUUGAAAAGAACAAUUUUGCAAUAGCUUCAGUGUGUGAUAUAAUAGUGACACACAUAAAUACACACAUAGAUAUUCUUUACAUGUUGAGUCUCGUUGUCACAUUAUUAUACUCCUUAAUCCUCAUUCCAAAUCAUGGUUUCUCCUUUGGAUUUGGAAUCAAACUCAAUAACUACCCUUUCCUUUUGCUUCAAACUAGGAAAUAAUAUUUUUGUGCUAUCAAAAUAAGUAAUGAAAAAGAAAGAAUAAAGAUGAGGUAACAUUAUUAGCAAAAAAUUGGUAAAAUAGAAAGAAACAGAUAAUAACCAAAAAUGGAUUGAUUUAAAUGGUGUAACUAUGUUCGAUCACGGACUCUUACGAAGAAAAACAAUAUAACAAGAGAGGAUAUAGAAACAACACAAGAGAAGAAGUGGACGGUGAGGUAGAAAAGAGAAAAAGAUUUAGUCGAUGGAGUUCGAUCCAAUCCCAAUCGGUUCAUGCUCCAAAGAACAUCAGAACAUUUACCAGCAAUGGUUCAAUUGCGCUGAUUCUGAUGGUGAUGGACGUAUAACGGGGAAUGAUGCCACCAAGUUUUUCGCCAUGUCUAAUUUGUCUUGUCAAGAUCUUAAACAGGGUUUCCACAGGUGCCACUUUCCUCUGUGACGUCGAUAAUUGAUGGCUUGAAGAGACUCUACAUCCAGAAGUUGAAGCCUUUAGAAGUUACGUACCAUUUUAAUGAUUUUGUCUCCCCAUUAUUGACAAAUAGUGAUUUUGAUGCCAAUCCUUUGGUUAUGCUUUUGGGACAAUACUCAACUGGCCAUGGUAAAAGUAAAACAACAUUUAUCAAACAUCUGCUUAAAUGUGGUUAUCCAGGCAAGUACUUCUGCUUUCUCUAUAUCCAUAUCGGUGUCACUUCUUUCGCAAUUCAUGCUUUUCUGUUUUUAUGACCAGAUAUUUUUUUCUUGAUUUCCAGUGUGGCACUUCCCAUAACCGUAAAUAUUAGGUGCACAUAUUGGACCUGAACCUACAACUGAUAGGUUUGUUUGUUGUUGUCAUAGUAUGUGCCAGACAACUAGAGUCCCUCCCAAAACACUCUUAAUACCUUAAGAUUUUCUUAGUUUUCAAAUUAUUAUUGCAUCAGUGCCUAGUUUUGACAAUUUGAAUUAUGAGGAGUUCUAGCAACACACACUAACACACUUUUCAACACUCUAUCAUUUAAAAUUCAUAUGGGUCCGACCAAAUCACGUGGGUCGCAUAUAAUUUUGGUGGGGGACCCAUAUGAAUUUUAACCAAUAAAAUAGUGUAUUAAAGAUUGUGUUCUUUGCAUAAAAAAAAAAAUUGUGUUCUUAGCAUUAUUCUUUGAAUUAUUGUAAUAUAUCUUCAAGUCAUCUUGGAAAAUGAAUUAUUGCAUUAGUUUUGACUAGCGAAUUGUGUUGGUGUACAGUCUGGAACUGAUGAGAGAAGCAUCCCUGGAAAUACUGGUGCUGUCCAAGCAGACAUGCCGUUUAAUGGACUUAAAACUUUUGGCACAGCUUUCUUGUCAAAAUUUGAGUGUUCACAAAUGCCUCAUCCUCUACUGGAGCACAUUACAUUUGUGGAAAGUCCUGGAGUUCUAUCCGGAGAAAAGCAACGGACAAAACGAGCAUAUGAUUUUACGGGUGUAACAAUCUUGGUUUGCUGCUAAGUGUGCUUUCAUACUCCUCUUGUUUGAUCCUCACAAACUUGAUAUUAGUGACGAGUUCAACCAUGUGAUAUCAUCUUUGCGGGGGCGUGGUGACAAAUGACAAAAUUUGAGUAGUUUUGAACAAGGGAGAUCAAAUUGAUACUCAGCAAGUAAGCGCUUGUGUAGUUAAACUUCUGUUUGUUUAUAUAAUAAUGAAUCUUUUAGUACAUGCAUCGGGAAUACUGACGUCAAUUUGGCUCUAUGUUACAUCUGAUGAGGGUUUAUGGAGCCUUAAUUUUGUCGCUCGGGAAGGUGCUGAACACACCUGAAGUCACUCGUGAGUAUAUUGGGUAUGUCGCUGUAUAUGCAUGUCAGUGUUAAAAUGUUCUCUUUGACAUGGAAAGUUGGAAAGAUCUCAAUGUGUUUCUGCAAUCACUAGUUAUUUUAAGUUUAUCUUUAUUUAGUAUCAUGAAGUUGCACAAAUGUUAUUUUUAUGGUGGAAUUGUGGCAGAUGUAUUUUGUGUCACUUGUGGUCCAAUCGGAAAGGAACUGUUUGAAAAAGAACAGGAAGUCCUUCUUUCAGAUCAAAGAGUGAGUUUAUUUAUUUAAUUUUAUGAAGAUUGAUAUGAUUAAAUUACUAGGAAGUCAACCUUUUGAUUUUCCUUUCAUUUGGGGAUUAUAUAUUUCAGAAACAUUUGAUAGAUAUGCUAGUGCUUCAGGUAAAGUUAUUAACCCUUCAAAGUCUACCAUUUUUUCUGUUUCCAUGAAUAGCACUAGACUUCAGAACAUUGCUAAUAGGAUAGGUUUUAACAUUGGUGUUACUCCUUUUUUUAUCUGGCAAUGCCUAUUUUUAGAGGUAAGCCUUAAGCAUCUCACCUGAGGCCUAUUGCUGAUAAAGUCAAGAUUAAGCUCUCUGCUUGGAAGGCCUCUCUUUUGUCUCUAGCUGGUAGAGUGCAGUUGAUUAAAAGUGUUAUCCAUGGUAUGUUAAUGCACACUUUCCUGAUAUACUCUUGGCUGGUCAGUUUAAUUAAAGAGAUUGAAUUGUAGAUGAGGAAUUUUAUUUGGAGUGGAGAGAUUUCUAAAAGAAAGUUAGUGACAAUUUCUUGGGCGAAAGUUUGUAAACCUUAUAAUGGGGGUGGCCUUGGGAUUAGAAAUUUGUCAAAAUAGAAUGAAGCUUCUAAUUUAAAACUGUGUUGGGAUUUAUUGCAUUCAAAGGAGCAGUAGAGUAAUCUUUUAAGCAGUAGAAUGCUGAGACAAAAUCGAACUAUUAAUCAUCAUAUUUAUUCCUCAAAUAUGGAGUGGUAUUAAGAUCAAAUAUGCAGAGAUUGUCGAUCAUUUAUCUCGGUUUCUUGGGGAUGGUAGGAACAUCAAUUUUUGGUUAGAUAACUGGUGUGGUUCCCCUCUGGUGCAUAUGCUAAAUUUACUUCAUAACUCAAAGCUUCAGCUCAUUUCUAAGGUGGAAAGCUUCAUACAUGAGGGUCAGUGGCUGGUGCCUUUAUUCUUGCAAAAUACUACUCUGCCUAAUCUCAUGCAUUGUAUUUCUGAAAUUUCCAUUACUCUUGAACCAAAAGAAGAUGAAUUAGUUUGGAAUCACUCUCGAACUGGCUCUCUCUCCCUCUCUUAAGGAAGCUUAUAUUUAUUAUUGUCCUGAGAAUCAACAUGUUAAUUGGUAUAAGUUUCUUUUGAAUCCUUCUAUCCCUCCUUCUAGAUCCUCUCUAGUUUGGAGGCUUAUGCAUAAUAAAGUUCCAACUGAUGAGAUUCUAAUGAAUAGAGGUUGGCAUAUCCCUUCCAUAUGCAAAUUGUGUCUUAACUGUUCAGAGUCUUCUCAGCAUGUAUUCUUUCAUUGUAGCUUUGCUCACAGCUUAUGGGAUUGGUUCUUAAAUAUGUUAAACAUCAACUUGCAAGUCAUCAACUCAGAAACAAUGUGGAAUAUCUGUGAGAGUGGUUGGGGUCCCCAAUGUAAACUGGUUAUAUCAGCUGCUUCGAUCAACAUUAUUAAUUCUAUAUGGUACAACAGAAAUCAAGCGAGUUUCAAUAAUGUAAAACCUUGUUUAAGAUCUGCUAAAGCCUUCAUUAUGUCCAACACAGUCAUAUCUGGAAAUGCAACUAAGGCUACAUCUACCAACUCCAUGUCAGAUUUCUUAGUUAUUAAAGCUUUUAAUGUCAAAAUCAACUCUCCCAAAGCCCCUUCUAUCAAAGAGAUAUUCUGGAUGCCUCCUAAAUCUUUGGAUAAAAUGCAACACGGACGGGGCAGCAAUAGGUAGUCCAGGUCAAGCAUCUUGUGCAGGUGUUUUCAGAAAUCACCAUGCUAGUUUUUUUGGUUGUUUUCAGAAAUCAGAAUCAUGCAAAUAUUGGUAUAGACACUGCCUUCCAUGCAGACCUCCUUGGUGUCAUGUUUGCUAUUGAGAUUGCUCAUAAUAGAGGAUGGCGACUUCUUUGGUUGGAGACUGAUUCAUUGUUAGUUACUCUUGCAUGCAAAACUCCUUCUAUGGUGCCCUGGAAAUUAAGGAACAGAUGGAAUAAUUGCAUGGUUCUUUGAAGGAUAUGCAAUUUAUUUUAUCUCAUAUAUAUAGAGGGGAUUAGCUUAGAUGACAAGUUAGCUUCUAUAGGUCUCACUUCAUCUGGUUUUACUUGGUAUAAUGUAAUUCCUAGGACAGUUUUGAAUGUGUAUAACCAUAAUAGCUUGGGCCUUCCUUCCUAUAGGUUCUCUUCUUGAAAGGUUUGGUUCUGCCCCCCCUUCCUUUUUUUGUAAUCUUUUUCUUCUUUUUAUCAAUAUACACUGCUUUGGCACACCUAAUCUUAUAUCUCAAGGGAGAAAUCUGAUAUGUAUACUUUUGCUGAAUGUCAUAAUCCAGUUAGUUAUUGUUUUUAUGUUAU